GAUGAACGCUGGCGGCGUGCCUAAUACAUGCAAGUCGAGCGAACGGACGAGAAGCUUGCUUCUCUGAUGUUAGCGGCGGACGGGUGAGUAACACGUGGAUAACCUACCUAUAAGACUGGGAUAACUUCGGGAAACCGGAGCUAAUACCGGAUAAUAUUUUGAACCGCAUGGUUCAAAAGUGAAAGACGGUCUUGCUGUCACUUAUAGAUGGAUCCGCGCUGCAUUAGCUAGUUGGUAAGGUAACGGCUUACCAAGGCAACGAUGCAUAGCCGACCUGAGAGGGUGAUCGGCCACACUGGAACUGAGACACGGUCCAGACUCCUACGGGAGGCAGCAGUAGGGAAUCUUCCGCAAUGGGCGAAAGCCUGACGGAGCAACGCCGCGUGAGUGAUGAAGGUCUUCGGAUCGUAAAACUCUGUUAUUAGGGAAGAACAUAUGUGUAAGUAACUGUGCACAUCUUGACGGUACCUAAUCAGAAAGCCACGGCUAACUACGUGCCAGCAGCCGCGGUAAUACGUAGGUGGCAAGCGUUAUCCGGAAUUAUUGGGCGUAAAGCGCGCGUAGGCGGUUUUUUAAGUCUGAUGUGAAAGCCCACGGCUCAACCGUGAAGGGUCAUUGGAAACUGGAAAACUUGAGUGCAGAAGAGGAAAGUGGAAUUCCAUGUGUAGCGGUGAAAUGCGCAGAGAUAUGGAGGAACACCAGUGGCGAAGGCGACUUUCUGGUCUGUAACUGACGCUGAUGUGCGAAAGCGUGGGGAUCAAACAGGAUUAGAUACCCUGGUAGUCCACGCCGUAAACGAUGAGUGCUAAGUGUUAGGGGGUUUCCGCCCCUUAGUGCUGCAGCUAACGCAUUAAGCACUCCGCCUGGGGAGUACGACCGCAAGGUUGAAACUCAAAGGAAUUGACGGGGACCCGCACAAGCGGUGGAGCAUGUGGUUUAAUUCGAAGCAACGCGAAGAACCUUACCAAAUCUUGACAUCCUUUGACAACUCUAGAGAUAGAGCCUUCCCCUUCGGGGGACAAAGUGACAGGUGGUGCAUGGUUGUCGUCAGCUCGUGUCGUGAGAUGUUGGGUUAAGUCCCGCAACGAGCGCAACCCUUAAGCUUAGUUGCCAUCAUUAAGUUGGGCACUCUAAGUUGACUGCCGGUGACAAACCGGAGGAAGGUGGGGAUGACGUCAAAUCAUCAUGCCCCUUAUGAUUUGGGCUACACACGUGCUACAAUGGACAAUACAAAGGGCAGCGAAACCGCGAGGUCAAGCAAAUCCCAUAAAGUUGUUCUCAGUUCGGAUUGUAGUCUGCAACUCGACUACAUGAAGCUGGAAUCGCUAGUAAUCGUAGAUCAGCAUGCUACGGUGAAUACGUUCCCGGGUCU
rnacentral:rRNA from 1 species